rnacentral:rRNA from 1 species
GGUUAAGCGACUAAGCGUACACGGUGGAUGCCCUGGCAGUCAGAGGCGAUGAAGGGCGUGCUAAUCUGCGAUAAGCGCCGGUAAGGUGAUAUGAACCGUUAUAACCGGCGAUACCCGAAUGGGGAAACCCAGUGUGACUCGUCACACUAUCAUUAACUGAAUCCAUAGGUUAAUGAGGCGAACCGGGGGAACUGAAACAUCUAAGUACCCCGAGGAAAAGAAAUCAACCGAGAUUCCCCCAGUAGCGGCGAGCGAACGGGGAGGAGCCCAGAGCCUGAAUCAGCAUGUGUGUUAGUGGAAGCGUCUGGAAAGGCGCGCGAUACAGGGUGACAGCCCCGUACACAAAAGCGCAUGUGCUGUGAGCUCGAUGAGUAGGGCGGGACACGUGGUAUCCUGUCUGAAUAUGGGGGGACCAUCCUCCAAGGCUAAAUACUCCUGACUGACCGAUAGUGAACCAGUACCGUGAGGGAAAGGCGAAAAGAACCCCGGCGAGGGGAGUGAAAAAGAACCUGAAACCGUGUACGUACAAGCAGUGGGAGCCCCACCACCAAAGCAUUCUCUGGUGUUGAAGGCCCUGCAAAGCAGCAUCGCGGUGGCGGAGCGUCGUUUGCGACGCCCAACACACAAAACAAGCGGUGAAUGCUUUGGGGUGGGGUGACUGCGUACCUUUUGUAUAAUGGGUCAGCGACUUAUAUUCUGUAGCAAGGUUAACCGUAUAGGGGAGCCGGAGGGAAACCGAGUCUUAAUUGGGCGUUAAGUUGCAGGGUAUAGACCCGAAACCCGGUGAUCUAGCCAUGGGCAGGUUGAAGGUUGGGUAACACUAACUGGAGGACCGAACCGACUAAUGUUGAAAAAUUAGCGGAUGACCUGUGGCUGGGGGUGAAAGGCCAAUCAAACCGGGAGAUAGCUGGUUCUCCCCGAAAGCUAUUUAGGUAGCGCCUCGUGAAUUCAUCUCCGGGGGUAGAGCACUGUUUCGGCUAGGGGGCCAUCCCGGCUUACCAACCCGAUGCAAACUGCGAAUACCGGAGAAUGUUAUCACGGGAGACACACGGCGGGUGCUAACGUCCGUCGUGAAGAGGGAAACAACCCAGACCGCCAGCUAAGGUCCCAAAGUCAUGGUUAAGUGGGAAACGAUGUGGGAAGGCCCAGACAGCCAGGAUGUUGGCUUAGAAGCAGCCAUCAUUUAAAGAAAGCGUAAUAGCUCACUGGUCGAGUCGGCCUGCGCGGAAGAUGUAACGGGGCUAAACCAUGCACCGAAGCUGCGGCAGCGACGCUGAUGCGUUGUUGGGUAGGGGAGCGUUCUGUAAGCCUGCGAAGGUGACCUGUGAGGGUUGCUGGAGGUAUCAGAAGUGCGAAUGCUGACAUAAGUAACGAUAAAGCGGGUGAAAAGCCCGCUCGCCGGAAGACCAAGGGUUCCUGUCCAACGUUAAUCGGGGCAGGGUGAGUCGACCCCUAAGGCGAGGCCGAAAGGCGUAGUCGAUGGGAAACGGGUUAAUAUUCCCGUACUUGGUGUUACUGCGAAGGGGGGACGGAGAAGGCUAUGUUGGCCGGGCGACGGUUGUCCCGGUUUAAGCGUGUAGGUGUGUGUUCCAGGUAAAUCCGGUUCACUUUAACACUGAGGCGUGACGACGAGGCACUACGGUGCUGAAGCAACAAAUGCCCUGCUUCCAGGAAAAGCCUCUAAGCAUCAGGUAACAUCAAAUCGUACCCCAAACCGACACAGGUGGUCAGGUAGAGAAUACCAAGGCGCUUGAGAGAACUCGGGUGAAGGAACUAGGCAAAAUGGUGCCGUAACUUCGGGAGAAGGCACGCUGACACGUAGGUGAAGUGAUUUACUCAUGGAGCUGAAGUCAGUCGAAGAUACCAGCUGGCUGCAACUGUUUAUUAAAAACACAGCACUGUGCAAACACGAAAGUGGACGUAUACGGUGUGACGCCUGCCCGGUGCCGGAAGGUUAAUUGAUGGGGUCAGCGCAAGCGAAGCUCCUGAUCGAAGCCCCGGUAAACGGCGGCCGUAACUAUAACGGUCCUAAGGUAGCGAAAUUCCUUGUCGGGUAAGUUCCGACCUGCACGAAUGGCGUAAUGAUGGCCAGGCUGUCUCCACCCGAGACUCAGUGAAAUUGAACUCGCUGUGAAGAUGCAGUGUACCCGCGGCAAGACGGAAAGACCCCGUGAACCUUUACUAUAGCUUGACACUGAACAUUGAGCCUUGAUGUGUAGGAUAGGUGGGAGGCUUUGAAGUGUGGACGCCAGUCUGCAUGGAGCCGACCUUGAAAUACCACCCUUUAAUGUUUGAUGUUCUAACGUGGACCCGUAAUCCGGGUUGCGGACAGUGUCUGGUGGGUAGUUUGACUGGGGCGGUCUCCUCCUAAAGAGUAACGGAGGAGCACGAAGGUUGGCUAAUCCUGGUCGGACAUCAGGAGGUUAGUGCAAUGGCAUAAGCCAGCUUGACUGCGAGCGUGACGGCGCGAGCAGGUGCGAAAGCAGGUCAUAGUGAUCCGGUGGUUCUGAAUGGAAGGGCCAUCGCUCAACGGAUAAAAGGUACUCCGGGGAUAACAGGCUGAUACCGCCCAAGAGUUCAUAUCGACGGCGGUGUUUGGCACCUCGAUGUCGGCUCAUCACAUCCUGGGGCUGAAGUAGGUCCCAAGGGUAUGGCUGUUCGCCAUUUAAAGUGGUACGCGAGCUGGGUUUAGAACGUCGUGAGACAGUUCGGUCCCUAUCUGCCGUGGGCGCUGGAGAACUGAGGGGGGCUGCUCCUAGUACGAGAGGACCGGAGUGGACGCAUCACUGGUGUUCGGGUUGUCAUGCCAAUGGCACUGCCCGGUAGCUAAAUGCGGAAGAGAUAAGUGCUGAAAGCAUCUAAGCACGAAACUUGCCCCGAGAUGAGUUCUCCCUGAGACUUAGAGUCUCCUGAAGGAACGUUGAAGACGACGACGUUGAUAGGCCGGGUGUGUAAGCGCAGCGAUGCGUUGAGCUAACCGGUACUAAUGAACCGUGAGGCUUAACCUU